GUCGUAUGGUGUUUAGAUAGCCUAUCAUUGGUGACAUAGAAAGUUUUUCUCCCUGAAACAAGAUACAUACAAAAUGGUAUUCGAAGACCUCUCAACAUACAUAAGAUUUAAACAACAUAAAUAGUCAUCUCCGUAUGCUACUUCAGUAAUAAACAAUAUUAUACUACAAGAAACAGACUAUAUGAGCUACAAUAAGUAAACAAUAUGAGGC
rnacentral:lncRNA from 1 species